GUUGAAACAUUUGUUCCCGUACGAUCACCGAAGUUAAACAACGCUGAGCCUGGCCAGUACCUAGAUGGGUGACCGUUGGGAAUACCAGGUGCUAU
rnacentral:rRNA from 1 species